GAAUCUGGUUACAGGCCGGGGACUCAGUGGGAAACGACUGCUAAUACCGGAUGUGCCGAAAGGUAAAAGGCUUGCUGCCUGAAGAUGAGCUCGCGUCUGAUUAGCUAGUUGGUGUGGUAAGAGCGCACCAAGGCGACGAUCAGUAGCUGGUCUGAGAGGAUGAUCAGCCACACUGGGACUGAGACACGGCCCAGACUCCUACGGGAGGCAGCAGUGGGGAAUUUUCCGCAAUGGGCGAAAGCCUGACGGAGCAAUACCGCGUGAGGGAGGAAGGCUCUUGGGUUGUAAACCUCUUUUCUCAAGGAAUAAUUUCUGAAGGUACUUGAGGAAUCACCAUCGGCUAACUCCGGGCCACCACCCCCGGUAAUACGGAGGAUGCAAGCGUUUUCCGGAAUAAUUGGGCGUAAAGGGCCCCCAGGUGGCCCUGUAAUUCUGCUGUUAAAAACCAAAGCUUAACUUUGUAAAAGCAGUGGAAACUACAAAGCUAGAGUGCUUUCGGGGUAAAGGGAAUUCCUGGUGUACCGGUGAAAUGCGUAAAGAUCAGGAAGAACCCGUUGGCAAAGGGCUCUAUUAGGCCGCACCUGACACUGAGGGAGGAAAGCUAGGGAAC
rnacentral:rRNA from 1 species